CAGUGUCCUAAAAGUAUCACUCUCCUUUGACGUAUUGAUUUCUUACGGCCACAAGGGGUCACUCUCUGUACUAAGUAGUUUAAAGGGCUAAUGAUGUAAGUGAACCGCUUUAUAUAAAGCUAUAUCCUCACAGUAAACAUUUCAAUGGUUUCAUAUGGAGUCUUGUUAUUGGAGUGCAAAAAAAAUAAAACAUUACAUGUUAUUUUAAACAAAUGUUUGGUACCUGCAAUUAGAUUAGCAGCAUAAUUUAAAUGAUCCGCAAAGAACAAACAUAGCAAAGGUACUUACAAAAAUUUGCAGUGCCCAGCGUAGUCACCACAUAGUUGCUUUUUGUAUCGAAUGCAUCAUGCAUUAUUGUUUUAAAUCGCCAUGUGAUUUAAGCGGUUUCUUUGUCUUGGAUUGUCAUACUGUUAAUCCUUUGGGCCCCACACGGCAUUUAAUGAUUUCUGCAGCAGUACUAAGGAGAGUCUGUUUGGCUUUUUGUGAUAUCAAAUUGUCAAAACUCUCUUGACAGAAAACGUCUGCGUUUGCAAUAAUUCAAAUCCCAUUCUGUCACAAGGACAUGUCUGUAUUUAUUGAGUGUACCUUGUGAUAGGCCCGUCAACAUAUCAUUAAUUUAAUGCUAUUUCCUGGUUGAGAUGUGCUGCAUCUGACAGUUUUAUUAUAUUUUUACCCAGCCAAUUAAACGUGCUGUUGCCACAAUGUCAUGUUCAGUUCAGUGGCCCAGUGGGAGAGGGACUAAUGAGGGCAGUAGGGGUGUGUGUUAAUAUGGCUGAAAAUUCAUGGGGCAGACUUGGGGCAGUAAUUGCCACUGACCCCUUGGCCAGAGAUCCAACCAUUGCCUAGGGAUUGGCACAAAUGUACUGGGCACGUGUCAAAUUACAAAGCAUUAAUACCUCAGCUUGCCAAAAUAGCAUGUCGACCUGAGAUAGAGGUUUCUGGUUUUGCAGUUUUUUGAUUCAAUUACAGGCCGAGUAGCCUGAGAUAGCCUUUUGGGUUAUAGUGGGGCACUGGAAACACUCACCCAAUGGCGUAACUAGGGUUGGCGGGGGAGGCGGUCCUCUUUGUGUGGCACUUAUUUGUGGGUUGUCCAGAACUGGAGGGGCGGACGAAGCCUGGUCACGCUGCAUAAAUUGACCGCCAGGAAAGGAGCGCUGUGUGUUCCCCUCCUGCCAAUCACUUGGACAUAUCCCUGCUCCCUGUAUGCUAAACAGCUUGUGGGACUUUAGUGAUGAGGCUGAGCUGAGAGGUCGGCAAAAGCUCUAGCUACGCCACUGCACUCACCAUCAUAAUAUAACAAAAGUAACCCUGAUAAGGGCUACUGAACUUGGCUUUUGACUGUUGCAAGUGUGAGUGUAAUUCCAGCUUGUGGACUAUGAACAUCUUCUGCUUAUUUGGAUGACUCAAACCAUAGAGGCUGAGAACCAGAAGCUGCAUGUGAAUGCUUCUUAAUAAUAUGCUUCUACAGUAUCCAAUUCCUGUCCGGUCAAAGUUCUCUAUGUACAUAGAAAAUGAUGGGAUAUUUUGCUAUGUAGUGGCAGUGUGCAUGGUGUCUCUCUUAUCAAAACAUCUCAGCUGUUCAUGUUGAUGCCACUAAUUAUGGAUUAUGAAGCAGAGCGCUGAUAACCGUGAGCUGGUGGACUAUACAUUAAACUGUUCUUUUCUGUUGCUGGAAAGACAUAAUAAUGAUUUCUAAAAUGAUACAGUUUCAUGUUGUUUAUAUACAGUUAAGGCUGAUUUAUAAUUUGCUAAAGGAACUGCAAUAAAAGCCAAAAUGGAACAAAA